rnacentral:rRNA from 1 species
UGGGGAAUUUUGGACAAUGGGGGAAACCCUGAUCCAGCCAUCCCGCGUGUGCGAUGAAGGCCUUCGGGUUGUAAAGCACUUUUGGCAGGAAAGAAACGUCGCGGGUUAAUACCCCGCGAAACUGACGGUACCUGCAGAAUAAGCACCGGCUAACUACGUGCCAGCAGCCGCGGUAAUACGUAGGGUGCAAGCGUUAAUCGGAAUUACUGGGCGUAAAGCGUGCGCAGGCGGUUCGGAAAGAAAGAUGUGAAAUCCCAGAGCCUAACUUUGGAACUGCAUUUUUAACUACCGGGCUAGAGUGUGUCAGAGGGAGGUGGAAUUCCGCGUGUAGCAGUGAAAUGCGUAGAUAUGCGGAGGAACACCGAUGGCGAAGGCAGCCUCCUGGGAUAACACUGACGCUCAUGCACGAAAGCGUGGGGAGCAAACAGGAUUAGAUACCCUGGUAGUCCACGCCCUAAACGAUGUCAACUAGCUGUUGGGGCCUUCGGGCCUUGGUAGCGCAGCUAACGCGUGAAGUUGACCGCCUGGGGAGUACGGUCGCAAGAUUAAAACUCAAAGGAAUU